GCGUCGGUAGUGCAAUGGUUAGCAUACGCUCCCGGAAAGAAUGAAAGCUGGGUUCGAAUCCCGGCUGAAGCA